AGAGUUUGAUCAUGGCUCAGAACGAACGCUGGCGGCGUGGAUAAGACAUGCAAGUCGUGCGGGAUUUAUUUGGUAGCAAUAUUGAAUAAGUCUAGCGGCGAAAGGGUGAGUAACACGUGGGAAUCUACCCAGAAGUGUAGCAUAGCCCGCCGAAAGGCGGAUUAAUACUGCAUGUGUCUGGCUCCAGUUGGGCGGUUGAACUGUAAGAUUAGAAAUGAUCUGAUGAACAAUCGACCUUCCAACUGGGGUUAGAUAAAGCGGGGGACUUGGCGAAAGCCGGCCUCGCGCUUCUGGAGGAGCCCGCGUCCUAUCAGCUAGUUGGUGAGGUAAUAGCUCACCAAGGCUUUGACGGGUAGCUGGUCUGAGAGGACGACCAGCCACACUGGAACUGAGACACGGUCCAGACACCUACGGGUGGCAGCAGUCGAGAAUUUUUCACAAUGGGGGCAACCCUGAUGGAGCGACGCCGCGUGGAGGAUGAAGGGAUUCGUCUUGUAAACUCCUGUCACUGGGGAAAAAUGCUUCUAUCCUAAUAAGAUUGGAGUUGAUGUUACCCAGAGAGGAAGAGACGGCUAACUCUGUGCCAGCAGCCGCGGUAAUACAGAGGUCUCAAGCGUUGUUCGGAUUUACUGGGCGUAAAGGGUGCGUAGGAGGUUUUCUAAGUCAAAUGUGAAAUCCCACAGCUCAACUGUGGAACUGCAUUUGAUACUGGAGAGCUGGAGGGUCGGAGAGGUUGCUGGAAUUCUCGGUGUAGCGGUGAAAUGCGUAGAGAUCGAGAGGAACACCAAUGGCGUAAGCAAGCAACUGGAAGAACCCUGACUCUGAGGCACGAAAGCUAGGGGAGCAAACGGGAUUAGAUACCCCCGUAGUCC
rnacentral:rRNA from 1 species